rnacentral:piRNA from 1 species
UGUUAGAAGCUGUGAUGGUUGUGUAAAUG